rnacentral:lncRNA from 1 species
CUGAAGUGAACUGACUACCUUAUGUGUGGAGAGGGGGAUUCCCCCUCCACACUCCUUUAUUCUUCUAAAACUCCAUAAUUGCAAGGGAGACCAGUCGCUAGAUGAAUGGGCUCGGACGGGCAGGGCGGGACGCGCGCUGGGCACCGCAAGGGCUCAUCCUCAGUGAAAACAGAACAAGAGCGGGGCCAGGCCGCAGGAGCUACCGCUGCACCUCAAGCAGCGGCGACGGCGACAAGCCCGUGCCAGCAGAGCAGGGCACAGGGACACC